rnacentral:lncRNA from 1 species
AAGGUGGCGCAGCCCGGUGCGGCCACGUGGCCCAACACCCGGCGAGUCUAUAAGCUGAACCAGCCAAGCUACGCAUUGACCUGGGGUCAACGCGGGCCGCGUAGGCCCUGCUCUUGUGUUACGCGGGCCGCGACAAGGUCAAGAUCAGCACCUAUAUAUAGAAUGCAUCGGAUCUUCAGCUUUAUACGCGGGUAUAAUACCCCAAUAAUUAGCGAAGCUCUGCCUCGUUAUUAUAACCAGGGAAUCACAAAGGAAAGCCCUAUAAUAGCAAUGUAACUUAGUGUGAAACCAAUAAAAGCCGGCUGGAGAGCACUGAAGGCUUGGAAAAGUGGCAAUAAAGUUACCUCAAAUAAAAAUAGAUGCUUUUAUUAUAUAAAAUAGGAUUUCUUCCUAUGAAAAUGUGUGUACUGCAAACGUGGGUUUUUCCCAUGUAUUUGUAUUUAUAAAAUAUGGUGGUUUACU